UAAUACGGAGGGGGCUAGCGUUAUUCGGAAUUACUGGGCGUAAAGCGCGCGUAGGCGGUUUUUCAAGUCAGAGGUGAAAGCCCGGAGCUCAACUCCGGAAUUGCCUUUGAAACUGGAUCACUAGAAUCAUGGAGAGGUCAGUGGAAUUCCGAGUGUAGAGGUGAAAUUCGUAGAUAUUCGGAAGAACACCAGUGGCGAAGGCGACUGACUGGACAUGUAUUGACGCUGAGGUGCGAAAGCGUGGGGAGCAAACAGG
rnacentral:rRNA from 1 species